GAUGAACGCUGGCGGCGUGCCUAAUACAUGCAAGUCGAACGAAAAGACGAGGAGCUUGCUCCGCUGGCGGGAGCGGCGGACGGGGGAGAGACAUGUGUAGAACCGACCUAUAUGGUGGGGGAAACCGUGGGGAACGGGAGGCAAAACCGGAAAAUAUAUUGAGCCGGAUGGUUGAAGAGCUAAAGACGGUUUUGUUGUCACGUGGAGAUGGACCGGCGCCGCAUUAGCUAGUUGGUAAGGUAACGGCUUACCAAGGCAACGAUGCGUAGCCGACCUGAGAGGAUGAUCCGCCACACUGGGACUGAGACACGGUCCAGACUCCUACGGGAGGCAGCAGUAGGGAAUCUUCGGCAAUGGGCGCAAGCCUGAUGCAGCCACGCCGCGUGAGUGAUGAAGGCCUUCGGGUUGUAAAGCUCUGUCGGUAGGGAAGAACACACGCCCACUUAACCAUGGAGUUCAUGACGGUACCUGCUCAGAAAGCAACGGCUAACUACGUG
rnacentral:rRNA from 1 species